rnacentral:rRNA from 1 species
GACGAACGCUGGCGGCGUGCUUAAAACAUGCAAGUCGAACGGGGUCCAACCUUCGGGUGAAGACCUAGUGGCGAACGGGUGAGUAACAUGUGGGCAACCUGCCCUCAGCUCUGGGAUAACUCCGGGAAACCGGGCUAAUACCGGAUACGACCUCUAAGGGCAUCCGAAGAGGUGGAAAGUUUUUCGGCUGAGGAUGGGCCCGCGGCCUAUCAGCUUGUUGGUGGGGUGACGGCCUACCAAGGCGACGAUCGUAGCUGGUCUGAGAGGAUGACCAGCCACACUGGGACUGAGACACGGCCCAGACUCCUACGGGAGGCAGCAGUGGGGAAUAUUGGACAAUGGGCGCAAGCCUGAUCCAGCCAUGCCGCGUGAGUGAUGACGGCCUUAGGGUUGUAAAGCUCUUUCGCUCGCGACGAUAAUGACGGUAGCGAGAGAAGAAGCCCCGGCUAACUUCGUGCCAGCCG